CCACAAAAUGGCUGCCAAACAGGCCCAGCCAAAUUCAACCUGGCCUGCAGUAUACCUUGCCAGUGUCAGCACAUGCAGAAAUAUGCAACAUAUUCGAGGACAUGCUGAGCCAGCACACAGCUGUCCUAGCUAUACUGCCACAGCUGAUGGAGCAAUGCGUACAGCCACACUCUGCCCUUUGUCUGAGAGCGCAAUCCAGCUUCCGCAGACACUAACCUAGAUCUCAAGCCUGAAGACUGAAUCUUCGUAUCAUUGCCCUAAA